UACAGAGGUCUCAAGCGUUGUUCGGAUUCAUUGGGCGUAAAGGGUGCGUAGGUGGCGUCGUAAGUCAGGUGUGAAAUCUCGGAGCUUAACUCCGAAACUGCAUUUGAUACUGCGGUGCUUGAGGACUGGAGAGGAGACUGGAAUUUACGGUGUAGCAGUGAAAUGCGUAGAGAUCGUAAGGAAGACCAGUGGCGAAGGCGGGUCUCUGGACAGUUCCUGACACUGAGGCACGAAGGCCAGGGGAGCAAACGGGAUUAGAU
rnacentral:rRNA from 1 species